rnacentral:rRNA from 1 species
AUUGAACGCUGGCGGCAGGCCUAACACAUGCAAGUCGAGCGAGCGGCGGACGGGUGAGUAAUGUCUGGGAAACUGUCUGAUGGAGGGGGAUAACUACUGGAAACGGUAGCUAAUACCGCAUACCAUCAGAUGUGCCCAGAUGGGAUUAGCUAGUAGGUGGGGUAACGGCUCACCUAGGCGACGAUCCCUAGCUGGUCUGAGAGGAUGACAAGCCACACUGGAACUGAGACACGGUGCAGACUCCUAGGGGAGGCAGCAGUGGGGAAUAUGGAACAAGGGGGGCAAGCCUGAUGCAGCCAGGCCGCGUGUGUGAAGAAGGCCUGCGGGGUGUAAAGCACUUUCAGCGGGGAGGCGUGACCCGCAGAAGAAGCACCGGCUAACUCCGUGCCAGCAGCCGCGGGAAUU